rnacentral:rRNA from 1 species
AGAACGAACGCUGGCGGCAUGCCUAACACAUGCAAGUCGAACGAGACCUUCGGGUCUAGUGGCGCACGGGUGCGUAACGCGUGGGAAUCUACCCUUGGGUUCGGAAUAACAGUUGGAAACGACUGCUAAUACCGGAUGAUGACGUAAGUCCAAAGAUUUAUCGCCCAGGGAUGAGCCCGCGUAGGAUUAGCUAGUUGGUGAGGUAAAGGCUCACCAAGGCGACGAUCCUUAGCUGGUCUGAGAGGAUGAUCAGCCACACUGGGACUGAGACACGGCCCAGACUCCUACGGGAGGCAGCAGUGGGGAAUAUUGGACAAUGGGCGAAAGCCUGAUCCAGCAAUGCCGCGUGAGUGAUGAAGGCCUAAGGUUGUAAAGCUCUUUUACCCGGGAAGAUAAUGACUGUACCGGAGAAUAAGCUCCGGCUAACUCCGUGCCAGCAGCCGC